rnacentral:lncRNA from 1 species
GUCCUUCCCCAUUAUUACAUUAGCUGUGUCCUUCCCCAUUAUUACAUUAGCUGUGUCCUUCCCCAUUAUUACAUUAGCUGUGUCCUUCCCCAUUAUUACAUUAGAUGUGUCCUUCCCCAUUAUUACAUUAGCUGUGUCCUUCUCCAUUAUUACAUUAGCUGUGUCCUUCCCAUUAUUACAUUAGCUGUGUCCUUCCUCAUUAUUACAUUAUCUGUGUCCUUCCCCAUUAUUACAUUAGCUGUGUCCUUCCCCAUUAUUACAUUAGCUGUGUCCUUCCCCAUUAUUACAUUAGCUGUGUCUUGCUCCAUUAUUACAUUAGCUGUGUCCUUCCCCAUUAUUACAUUAGCUGUGUCCUUCUCCAUUAUUACAUUAGCUGUGUCCUUCCCCAUUAUUACAUUAGCUUUGUCCUUCCCCAUUAUUACAUUAUCUGUGUCCUUCCCCAUUAUUACAUUAUCUGUGUCCUUCCCAUUAUUACAUUAGCUGUGUCCUUCUCCAUUAUUACAUUAGCUGUGUCCUUCCCCAUUAUUACAUUAGCUGUCUCCUUCCCCAUUAUUACAUUAGCUGUGUCCUUCCCAAUAUUACAUUAGCUGUGUCCUUCCCCAUUAUUACAUUAUCUGUGUCCUUCCCAUUAUUACAUUAGCUGUGUCCUUCCCAAUAUUACAUUAGCUGUGUCCUUCCCCAUUAUUACAUUAGCCGUGUCCUUCCCCAUUAUUACAUUAGCUGUGUCCUUCUCCAUUAUUACAUUAGCUGUGUCCUUCCCCAUUAUUACAUUAGCUGUGUCCUUCUCCAUUAUUACAUUAGCUGUGUCCUUCCCAUUAUUACAUUAGCUGUGUCGUUCCCCAUUAUUACAUUAGCUGUGUCCUUCCCCAUUAUUACAUUAGCUGUGUCCUUCUCCAUUAUUACAUUAGCUGUGUCCUUCCCCAUUAUUACAUUAGCUGUGUCCUUCCCCAUUAUUACAUUAGCUGUGUCCUUCCCCAUUAUUACAUUAGCUGUGUCCUUCCCAUUAUUACAUUAGCUGUGUCCUUCCCCAUUAUUACAUUAGCUGUGUCCUUCCCCAUUAUUACAUUAGCUGUGUCCUUCCCAAUAUUACAUUAGCUGUGUCCUUCCCCAUUAUUACAUUAGCUGUGUCCUUCCCAAUAUUACAUUAGCUGUGUCCUUCCCCAUUAUUACAUUAGCUGUGUCCUUCCCCAUUAUUACAUUAGCUGUGUCCUUCCCCAUUAUUACAUUAGCUGUGUCCUU